GUUUAAAGCAAUAAAGUGAAUUGACCCUACCUAACUUUUAAAAGCUUGCUUCUUACAUCUAUAACCAUUAUAAAACAUGCAAAAGUAUUCACUGUAGCUGGUGAAUAGUUCUUUUGCGUGUUAUUACAUAGAAACCCCUGAAUUCAAUGAAAUGCCGAGUUUGCCCUUGCAGCCAGUUGUUUCCUAUCUUGCCAUGUGUAUGGAAGUCCAGCUAUUCUCCAUGCCUUGGUUUGCCUGACAGCUAAGGUGCUUGUUGCUUGUACGAGUAGUUUUGUGUCUUGGAUUUUUGAUUCGGUUUUGCUUGGUUGCUUUGGUUUAGGUCUUUUGCUGGUUUGUUUUGCGAGCUUUUGGGCUUGAUGAUCAGGUCUGGAAUGGAGUUCUCUUUCUGUGGCUCCGGUAUGUUUUCUUGCUCUUUUUGUUAUCUAGGUUGGGAGUGUACUUACCGUUCCUUUUCCUUGCAUUGGAAUGCCUUACUUGGCCGCCACUCUGCAUUUUAUAGGGUUAUUGAUGUCGGUGUGCUUGUUCACCAUAGUGUAUAUAAAUAUCUUGAGGGUGUCUAUUUUUUUGGACAUGGCAAGCGAUCCGUGCCCAGUAACAGUUUCUUUUUGGUGGUGGAUGAUUUGAGUUUCCUGUGCGCAGUAGUUUGUGUCAAAGGUGGUGCUUUGCUGUAGAUGAUAUUACAAUACUUAUAGUACAGUCUUAAUUUCUCCAUAUGCGCUUUGGUUCGGAAUUUUCUAGCAAAUUGAACCUUAACUUACUAACAGAUUAUUAGAUGUAAUGUGAUAUAAUGACUAAUAUUGAAUAUACAAUUACACAAUGUGUGGAUAUGAAUGUAAUAGGUAGAUGGGUUUAAUUGUUGUGGUAAUAGGAAUAUCAACAAAUAAACUGAUUUAUUUGCAUGUUCUUAUUUUAGUUCUUUUUUGGGGUUACAGGUUCAGUGAUAUCAUUGUUUGUGGUUUUGUUGUUGGACAUUUGUUCAGGUUAUGGCUAGAUGAUCAAAAAGAGUUUUUGUUCCUUUUCAGCCUCUUUUGGAAAAGGUUGUUGCUUGGUUACAAUUUCCAUCACCGAUGUAUGGAUUUAUAGAUGUUGAUAAGAAUAAUGUCUUUGUGCGAGUUAAUAAGCCAAACUCUCGUACAAAGUUUAUUUUCUAUGGUGGAGAUUCCAGUUCAGUUGAAGAGUCUCGUGAAAGAGCAGCCCACAAAGCUGUGAAGAGAUUGAUGUGUCGGUUUAGUGUGCGCGUGUCUGAUUUCACUUAUGAGCGCAUUAAGAUGUAUCGAUUGUGUGUGAAGUUGUUUAAGAAUAGAUGUGCUGAGUUAGUGCAGGACAGAGAAGAUUUAAGUCGCAUACGUGCAGAAUGCAGUACAAGGGAGGAUGCAUCAUUUCAUGAUGUUCAUGUUUCGUUGGAUUUUGUACAGGUUUUGGGAGUUUUAGUUAGGAAGACUGGCGUUUCUGUGACUGGCAUUGAAACCACUAGAUUAGAAGGACAUGGCUAUAUGUCUUGGUUAAUGGUCACUUGCCCUCGUAAUAGUAUUUCUAUGGAAUGCAUUUUCAGCGACCCCUAACUUGAAGUGCACAUUGCUGAGCAGCGAGUUGCAAAGAAAGCAUGUUUCUUUGUAGCUUCUGUUUGCAAUCUCGAAAUAGUGGAUGCUAACUACGGUUCUGCUGGCAAAGAUUAGUGGUGAAUGUUCUUUGCUAAGGGAGAAGUAUCUGAUUUUGAAGGGUCAUCUUGAAUGCUUGGAGAGCAGUUCAAAGCAAGCUGAUUCUGUUAAUGGAUUAGGAGAUGACGCAUGUGUGACGCCGAAUGAUGAAGCAAAUCAAAUUCCAGUUUUAGUUCUCCCACCAAGUCUUCCGGCUAAGCGUAGGAUUAAUAGUAGUGAGCCAUCUACCAGUGGUGUGGGAGUGCAGAUUCCUGACAAUUUUGUUCCUGGUCUGUCGGAUUUAGAGGAUGUCUAUAAAUGUGCUAGGAUUGAAUAGCUGUGUUUAGUAUGCCUAACUAUCUUUUGGAUUAAGGUGAUUGAGGGUAUGUAAGCAACUGUUAAUCCUUUGGUUGGGAUAUGGUAAAGUAAUUAGGCAGCUUUUGUCAAUUAUUAAUAGAUGUACGAAACAAAUGUAAUAGUUGUUGUCAUAUUGCUAAAAUCCUGUAGUUUAGUCCUUGUAUUGUAAUGAUGUUCCUACCUUGACUGUACUGCUAUUAUGGCCUCAUUUGAAUGAAUAUCGGUUUUCUUUGUUCCUA